rnacentral:rRNA from 1 species
UACGGAGGGUGCAAGCGUUAUCCGGAUUCACUGGGUUUAAAGGGUGCGUAGGCGGGCAGGUAAGUCAGUGGUGAAAUCUCCGAGCUUAACUCGGAAACUGCCGUUGAUACUAUUUGUCUUGAAUAUUGUGGAGGUAAGCGGAAUAUGUCAUGUAGCGGUGAAAUGCUUAGAUAUGACAUAGAACACCAAACGGCGAAGACAGUUAACUAUUCAGUUCUUGACGUUGAGGCACGAAAGCGUGGGGAGCAAGACGG